GCGAAAAUAGCGCCAAGUGGAGCGCACCGACGCACCUGAAUAAAUCAAGCAAAAUGGCGAUUCAGGAUUCAGUCAGCGAAGAACCGUCAAGGAUUAUUGUCAGUGCUUCAUGUAUGCUCAAAUAAUUUAAAAACAAUAGCGAAUGUGACACGUUUCAAUAACGUACAGAAUGCAAACAGCUCGUUUUUAUUGCCAUUUUAUUUGGAGUAUUUGGUGUUUCUUACAAGUUACUGCCGCGGACUAUGUUAAACUAUCACACGAUGGACCAACUAUUUUGGGUGCUACAAUCACUUUUAGAGCGGAUUUGUAUAAGAAAGAUAACGUACGACCACAUGGGAGAUACAAAUACAAAUGGAUGGAUAAUUCAUUGAUGAAACAUGAACAUGAGGUUGAAACGACAAAUACAACAACAUUUUGGAAUAUAAGUUAUCCACGAGAAAUUAACACUCCUGGAACCUAUAUAGUAGCAGUAGAAGUCAAUUCUUUUUCUUGGCCAUUCUUCUGGCCUUUUGACACAAGCGCUCGUAUCCAGUUUGAGAUUACUGAAUAUCUUAAUGGUAAUAUAACUAUAAAACAAAAUGAUAAAACCAUAGUAGGAGAUUAUAUCUCUUCAUUGAACGAAACAAAAGUAAUGAUAGAUAUACGUAAAGGAGAUCACGACUUUAUAAUGCAGAACGCAACGACGAUAUCAACAUAUUGGUUUAUCGAUUGUCAGUAUUAUGGCCAAACAAAUGAUUUCGCCUUUGCUUACAAUUUUACAACUCCUGGGAUGACACACGAAAUAGGGGCUUUAGUGAUUGUUUCGUACAAUUCACCAACGACUACAACCGUUUUGCCAUCUACAACUACGACUGCGCCCACUAAUGUAACGACAAUCUCACCAAAUACUACUACAACAAAUUCAAAUGGAACUCAUGCCACAGUUGUAACCACAACUAUGUUACCAACAACUGUCGUGAGUGCAAAUCCGACGGUGAAAUUUCCAACGGUUGCAUCUCCGAUCACUGUAAGCACAAUAGAUAUUGCCAAUAUAUCUGCACCACCUUACAUUUGUUCGAAUACUUCUCUCAUUCCGCCGGAUCCUAACAAAAUAUAUGGAUACUUUCACAAGAAAAUCUACGUUCGUGCUCCUAUAUCAAACAUCUCAGUGGAAGGCACAAACUGGAUCCAACCAUGGGAUAUGCUGUCUUUGAAUGUAACUUGCAAGGGAUCAGGGCCUUUUUCAAAAUGUCUUCAAUUCUACCGUGGAAAAUACAACGUAACGGGAAACGAGACAUGCAACAAUGUGGAACACUUAAAUUCUUGCAAUUUCUCCAUUUUUCAUUAUUUUCUUCAGCCCAGUGUCUAUACAAUAUUGAUCGUAUUAAACAACGAAGUUAGUACACAAAUUUAUCCGCUAACGAUAAACAUUUACAAAGUUACAACAAAACCGCAAUUGUCAGUUAUUGUAGUACCAGUCUCUUGUUCGCUCGUUGCCGUGGUGUUGAUAGUAUUUGGUGUAGCGUAUUAUAUUCAGAGCAGAGCAAGAUUUACGGUAGAAGUUGCGGACUUCGAUUUUGGGCAAAGUAACCCAGAAAUGGAAUACAAAACGUUUACAGAACGUUUGCGUGACUCAUUUAAUAACACUGUAAGACCUGGAAGCAAACAGCCAAAUACAUGCUAUUAUGGCAGCAUGAAUCAGUGAAAAGGCUGUGUGAACUUAUGUGACUUGUCUAUUGCCGUCUAAUCUUUCUGUUAUUUUCAAAUUCAGGAUAUGAACCGCUUAACAAUCCACAAACACUUCAAUGAUGUAUUCAUGAACAAAGAAGCAACUUUCCAAAAAGCGAUGUUAAUCUGUAACAAAUGUUUCUGCGAAGAGUGAGCGGGAAUUGAACGAAGGCUUCAUCAAACGAAAAAUAUUCAUCAAUAAAUUCAACAAUAUUGAUGGUGAAAAGGUUCGUCGAAUUUUGUUGUUGCGAUACAUUUUUAAAUGAUUUCACUUAAAAAUCGAUACUGAUUAUAAAAAGAAAACACAUUUGCAAUUGUUCAAGUUUUUUAAACAAUUUGCAAAUGAUUAAAUCGAAAAUUGUAUAUAGAGACAAGGAAGAAAUGUAUAUAUAGGCUGUGAAUUUAGUAUACAACAAUUAUUUAAAAAUAGAACUGCUCUUAAUAUGGAGAAUUUGAUAUUUUUUUUAAAGUUGCAACAAGAGUAUAUGAUCAAUUUAUAAUCCUUUUUAUGAUUUAUAAUACACUUUAGAUUGAUUACUAGUGAUAUACAUGUUUCGCAUUAUAAAUAAUUCUAUACUUUGUUAAUUUUUAUAUAUAUACACGUGUAUAGAAAUUGCUAAUAUAUGAAGAGGCUUUAUCCAAAGGCAGAAUUAGGUCACAUUCGUAUUAAGAAAUCUUUUUGUGUAUAACGCUUUGUAUUUAAUAUAAUUUGUCAUCAAGUUUUUUUAAGACUGGUUUAAAUAGAGCCAUUGUAUAUUAUUAAUUUCAAGAAGUGAAGUGAAUUUUUAAGAUGAAAUUUAAAGGACGAAAUAGCGCGUCUAUGUGAGAGUCUAUUAAGUUAGAUGAACUAUUUAAUUCCAAAAAUAUAAUUAUUACAUGAUAUUGUGUGGCAUAAAAAUAUUUAUCUAUAUCUUUAAUAAAAAAAAGAAAUAUUGAUGCAAGAAUUUAUGAUUGUUACUU